rnacentral:rRNA from 1 species
GACGAACGCUGGCGGCGUGCUUAACACAUGCAAGUCGAACGGAAAGGCCCUGCUUGCAGGGUACUCGAGUGGCGAACGGGUGAGUAACACGUGGGUGAUCUGCCCUGCACCUCGGGAUAAGCCUGGGAAACUGGGUCUAAUACCGGAUAGGAGCCAUUUUUAGUGUGAUGGUUGGAAAGUUUUUUCGGUGUAGGAUGAGCUCGCGGCCUAUCAGCUUGUUGGUGGGGUAAUGGCCUACCAAGGCGGCGACGGGUAGCCGGCCUGAGAGGGUGGACGGCCACAUUGGGACUGGGAUACGGCCCAGACUCCUACGGGAGGCAGCAGUGGGGAAUAUUGCACAAUGGGCGCAAGCCUGAUGCAGCGACGCCGCGUGGGGGAUGACGGCCUUCGGGUUGUAAACUCCUUUCGCUAGGGACGAAGCUUUUUGUGACGGUACCUAGAUAAGAAGCACCGGCUAACUACGUG